rnacentral:rRNA from 1 species
UACGAAGGUCCCGAGCGUUAUUCGGAAUCACUGGGCGUAAAGGGAGCGUAGGCUGCGCGGUAAGUCAGAUGUGAAAUCUCAGAGCUCAACUCUGAAACUGCAUCCGAUACUGCCGCGCUAGAGUAAUGGAGGGGUAACUGGAAUUCUCAGUGUAGCAGUGAAAUGCGUAGAUAUUGAGAGGAAGACCAACGGCGAAGGCAGGUUACUGGACAUUUACUGACGCUGAGGCUCGAAGGCUAGGGUAGCGAAAGGGAUUAGAUACCCCUGUAGUCC